CACAUGUUUGACCAUUCGUCUUAUUCAAAAAAUUUACGGAAUUAUAAUUUAUUUUGUUAUGAGUUGUUUUAUCACUCAUAGUACUUUAAGUGUGAUUUAUAUCUUAUACAUUUGCAUAAAAUUUUUGAAUAAGACGAAUGGUUAAACAUGUGAGAAAAAGUCAAUGGC
rnacentral:pre_miRNA from 1 species